rnacentral:rRNA from 1 species
AACGAACGCUGGCGGCAGGCUUAACACAUGCAAGUCGAACGCCCCGCAAGGGGAGUGGCAGACGGGUGAGUAACGCGUGGGAACAUACCCUUUCCUGCGGAAUAGCUCUGGGAAACUGGAAUUAAUAUCGCAUACGCCCUACGGGGGAAAGAUUUAUCGGGGAAGGAUUGGCCCGCGUUGGAUUAGCUAGUUGGUGGGGUAAAGGCCUACCAAGGCGACGAUCCAUAGCUGGUCUGAGAGGAUGACCAGCCACAUUGGGACUGAGACACGGCCCAAACUCCUACGGGAGGCAGCAGUGGGGAAUAUUGGACAAUGGGCGCAAGCCUGAUCCAGCCAUGCCGCGUGAGUGAUGAAGGCCUUAGGGUUGUAAAGCUCUUUCACCGAUGAAGAUAAUGACGGUAGUCGGAGAAGAAGCCCCGGCUAACUUCGUGCCAGCCGCCGCGGUAAAAC